rnacentral:pre_miRNA from 1 species
UUUUCGUUUUUCCGUGUUCAACGUUUAACUAUUCGUUUUAUUUGAAAAAUUUGUAAAAAACUUAAAAAAUUAAAAAAAUUAGUCACGUAUAAAGUACUAUUCAUAUUUUAUCAUCUAAUAAUAAUAAAAAUAUUAAUCGCAAAAAAAUUUCAAAUAAAACGAAUGGUCAAACGUUGAACACGGAAAAAC